rnacentral:rRNA from 1 species
UACGAAGGGGGCUAGCGUUGCUCGGAAUUACUGGGCGUAAAGCGUAUGCAGGCGGAUCGUUAAGUCGGGGGUGAAAUCCCGAGGCUCAACCUCGGAACUGCCUUCGAUACUGGCGACCUUCGAGUCCGGGAGAGGUGAGUGGAACUCCGAGUGUAGAGGUGAAAUUCGUAGAUAUUCGGAAGAACACCAGUGGCGAAGGCGGCUCACUGGCCCGGUACUGACGCUGAGAUGACGAAGCGUGGGGAGCAAACAGG